GGGGAAUAUUGGACAAUGGGCGAAAGCCUGAUCCAGCCAUGCCGCGUGAGUGAUGAAGGCCUUAGGGUUGUAAAGCUCUUUUAGUGGGGACGAUAAUGACGGUACCCACAGAAAAAGCCCCGGCUAACUUCGUGCCAGCAGCCGCGGUAAUACGAAGGGGGCUAGCGUUGUUCGGAUUUACUGGGCGUAAAGCGCACGUAGGCGGAUCGUUAAGUCGGGGGUGAAAUCCUGGAGCUCAACUCCAGUACUGCCUUCGAUACUGGCGAUCUUGAGUCCGGAAGAGGUGAGUGGAACUCCUAGUGUAGAGGUGGAAUUCGUAGAUAUUAGGAAGAACACCAGUGGCGAAGGCGGCUCACUGGUCCGGUACUGACGCUGAGGGGCGAAAGCGUGGGGAGCAAAC
rnacentral:rRNA from 1 species